CUCCAGAGAGCCUAGUGGUUAAGGCUAUGGAUCGACAAUCCGGGGACGACGGGUUCGAUUCCCGUUCCGGUCG
rnacentral:tRNA from 1 species